CGCUGGUUUCUCAUGCAAACUCAGAGCCGAGCUAAUGACAUGAGCAACUUUUACUUUUACACAAGAUGAGCACGCGUGCCGAGGCGCUGGGCGGCGGCUGUGUAAUUCCACUGGAUUUGGACCUAGAGGCUAUGCUUGUCUUCAAAUAGAAUAGUGUAAAAAAUACGUGAAAGAAGGUGUGAGGAAUCCAGAGUCCCACAACCAAGUGGUAAUGAAUAACCAAAGCUCUACCUAAUGAAAUUCCCACCGUUGUUAGAAAACGCUUCUACCACAAGCUACUGCAUCUUAAAUAUACAAAUUUGACACAACAAUUGGUGGGCUUCCGGAAGCCCCCAGGAAACCUAACUGCAGAGUUCAUCCUUUGAUGUCAAGGCUUUGAUGCUGUUUGUUAUGCAAAUAAGAAGCAGGACACUUAUGAGCCCUUUACACCUGAGUGGGAAAAAAAAUGGCUGCAGAGCUCAGGUCUUCAUGCAUCAAGAGGAUGAGAGAGCAAGACAAAGCAAGAGGCCUUUUUUUGUUUGUUUGUUUCAUUUUUUUAAUAAGUUGUUGGGGUAUAGGUGGUAUUUAGCUACAUGAGUAAGUUCUUCAGUGGAGAUUUGUGAGAUCGUGGUGCCCCCAUCACCCGAGCAGUAUACAUUGCACCGUAUUUGUUGUCUUUUAUCCUUUGCCCCCUCCCAUCUUCCCCCCAAGUCCCCAAAGUCCACUGUAUUAUUCUUAUGCCUUUGCAUCCUCAUAGCUUAGUUCCCACAUAUCAGUGAGAACUUAGGAUGUUUGGUGUUCCAUUCCUGAGUUACUUCACUUAGAAUAAUAAUCUCUUUUGCAUCACUGAGGUGAGGAGGGGCAGACAGGAAGGUUGCAGUUCUCAAGGGAGCAAGGCUUUUCUAAAACUUCAUUUGAUGCCGUCCGUGAAUUUUACUCGGUUCUAACAAACAUUUCUUCAGUGUCUACAAUGUACCAAAUCCCACAUGAGGAAGAGGUCAGGAGAUCAAGACCAUCCUGGCCAACAUGGUGAGACCCCGUCUCUACUAAAAAUACAAAAAUUAGCUGGGCAAGGUGGCGGGCGCCUGUAAUCCCAGCUACUUGGGAGGCUGAGGCAGGAGAAUCGCUUGAACUCGGGAGGCGGAGAUUGCAGUGAGCCAAGAUCGAGCCACCGCCCUCCAACCUAGCGACAGAGUGAGACUCCGUCUCAAAAAAAAACAAUAAAUAAAGAGAUUUCUUCCUAGUCAUGACCAUAUGUGAUAUCCACCGCACAGGGUUGUGGGGGCCAGAAACCAUCAGGGACCUUUCCACCACCAGGGGCCCAAGAAGGAGGAGGAGAGACAGAGAAGGCAUGUGCCAAGAUGCUCAGUUCAGUUCUGUAAUAACUCUAGAUCCCUCUCAGGAACAUUUUGCAGAGACAAUGUGUCCUUCUGGAGGAGAAAUUAGAGGAGAUAAUUUGCAUCUCUUUUUGGCUGCAUUGAGAAAAUGAGUUAAAGUAAAACAUCAGAACAAUUUUAUGUUUUAGGCAUGAAAGCCAUUCCCCAAAAGAAGUGUAAAAUGCUUUUUACUUGAAACCUUUCAAUAUAACACCUCUGAACUGAGGUUCACUCAUUCUAACUCAAAAUGCCAACACAAAGCUGCAAGCCCCAGAUAUUAAAUAUUUUAGCUAUUAAACACUUUUAAUAUUUAACAGCCAUGUUACUUUGUGGUUAUCAGAAGAGUUUUGGAAUUAUAGUUGUCUUAUGAUGAAAAAUGAAUAAUAUAUGUGAUACAUGUGUGAUAUACGUGUGAAUAAAAUUAAGCUGGCACAAUUUUUUUAGCCACUUUUUUUUUUUUUUUUUUUUUUUGAGACAGAAUCUCACUGUGUCACCCAGGCUGACUGGAUUGCAGUGGUGGGAUCUUGGCUCACUACAACCUCUACCUCCGGGGCUCAAGCACUCCUCCCAUCUCAGGCUCCUGAGUAACUGGGACUACAAGCACAUGCCACCAUGCCCAGCUAAUUUUUAAAAUUUUUUUGUAAAGGUAUGGUCUUACUGUGUUGCCCAGGCUACUCUUCAACUCCUGGUCCCAAGUGAUCCUCCUGCCUCGGUCUCCCAAAGUGUUGGGAUUACAGGCAUAAGCCACCAGCCAUUUUAGCCACUCUUAAGGGAGAAAUAAUUGUCCGAUCAGAUCUCCAAUUUAUAGAGGUAUUGCAAUAGUAUUCUGAAAAACAAUGUGUAAUUACGAUACAAUGUUGUAAGAAAGAAAAUAAUAUGGUUAUGAACAUAAUUUAUGAUUUACUACAUAAUGACAACGUAAGUUUGGAAACCUAACUUUUCCUUUCCCCAUCAUAAUCUAAAGCAUUUACAAAGCACUUAUGUUCCAAACAAAUAUUUUGUAAUUUCAGAAGAUCUCUGAACAUUCUAAAGAUGUCUAAAAUGACAGAUAAUGCAUUUCUUUAUGUACAGUACAAAUCCUUUAGAUGCUUGCUUAGAUAACGGAAUAAGUGUACUUAUAAAGAAAAUGUUACUUUUGAAAUCAUAUUUAUAUCUUAUUUCUUUAAUCUAACCAUUUGUACCAGUUAGUAAAUAAGAAAAAGCCUUUUCCCUGCUAAAGAUUAUGCCUUUGACCAUUUAUUCAAAUGGACUAAAGAGGGAACUCAGUGAAAACUCCAAGAAACAUAGUAUAGGCUUUUCCCGAAAUUACAUAGUAUUUGGCUCCACAGUAAAUUAGUGAAACCUUAUUAAAAUCAGUUGGACAAAAACUCUCUAGAUACAGAAAUACCAAAGUGACAUUUAUAAAUAUGGUUUGGUUAAAACUGACAUUUUUGGGGGACUUUCUGGACAUAUUACAUUUAAAAACAAUGAAGAAUUUAUCUAAAAUAAGUGUUAACUCAGGAGUCUAUAGACAAAGAUAUGUCAUACAACUUAACAAUGUAAAGUGAUAUGUGGAAUCACUUUCUCUUCGACCUUGGCUAUCUCUGCACAAAUAAAUGGGCUUAAUUCAGGCAAACAAUGUGUUAUUUGAAGUAAGAAGGUAAAAAGAAAUUCAGUUAGUAACGGAUCAUUUGACUCAAACUGACAUUUAAGGUAUCUCAAUUCAACCAUUUGUUUUUCUUCAUAUUCAACUCCGUAUGUAUACGCACCCCAGGUUUUUCUUUUGCAGAAGAAGGAGUUAAAAAUAAGGCAUUAAAAUAUAGAGGAUGAUAUUUCUACACCAUUGAUUAUUUAAAUCUGUGGCUCUAUAUAAAAGUAGCUUUUUUUUUUUUUUUUUUUGAGAUGAAGUAUCGCUCUUGUUCCUCAGGCUGGAGUGCACUGAUGCGAUCUCAGCUCACUGCAACCUGCGCCUCCCAGGUUCAAGCAAUUUUCCUGCCUCAACCUUCCGAGUAGCUGGGAUUACAGGCACCUGCCACAGCCUCCCGAGUAGCUGGGAUUACAGGCACCUGCCACAGCCUCCCGAGUAGCUGGGAUUACAGGCACCUGC
rnacentral:lncRNA from 1 species